rnacentral:tRNA from 1 species
UCAAAUGCAGUUAACCUUAACAUUAACUUUGGGAGUUAAAGAAUAACGAUUGAGUUACUUUUGAA